GAUGAAGAACGUAGCGAAAUGCGAUACGUAAUGUGAAUUGCAGAAUUCAGUGAAUCAUCGAAUCUUUGAACGCACAUUGCGCCCGCUAGCACUCUGGCGGGCAUGCCUGUUCGAGCGUCAUUUCAACCAUCAAGCCCCAGCGCUUGUGUUGGGGGCCUGCGGCUGCCGCAGCCCCCCAAAAGCAGUGGCGGGCUCGCUAUCACACCGAGUGCAGUAGUUCAUCUUCUCUCCGGUCUUGUGAGGCGGGUUCCGGCCGUGAAACACCCCACUACAUUCAAGGUUGACCUCGGAUCAGGUAGGAAUACCCGCUGAACUUAAGCAUAUCAAUAAGCGGAGGA
rnacentral:misc_RNA from 1 species